rnacentral:rRNA from 1 species
GGGAUAGAAUUCCAGGAGUAGCGGUGAAAUGCGUAGAUAUCUGGAGGAAUACCAAAGGCGAAGGCAGUCCCCUGGUCCGAUACUGACACUGAGGUACGAAAGCGUGGGGAGCAAACAGGAUUAGAUACCCUGGUAGUCCACGCCCUAAACGAUGUCGAUUAGCCAUUGGAAGGACCCCUUUUCCUUUCAGUGACGUAGCUAACGCGUUAAAUCGACCGCCUGGGAAGUACGACCGCAAGGUUAAAACUCAAAGGAAUUGACGGGGACCUGAACAAGCGGUGAAUGAUGUGGAUUAAUUCGAUGCUACGCGAAGAACCUUACCUACCUUUGACAUGGCCAAAGUUCUACCGAGAGGCGGAAGUACUCGUAAGAGGAUUGGCGCACAGGCGCUGCAUGGUUGUCGUCAGUUCGUGUCGUGAGAUGUUGGGUUCAGUCCCGCAACGACACGCAACCCUUAUCUUUAAUUGCUCCUAUUUUAACAGGCACUUUAAAGAAACUGCCAAUGAUAAGUUGGAGGAAGGUGGGGAUCACGUCAAGUCCGCAUGGCCUUUAUAGGUAGGGCUUCACACGUCAUACAAUGGUUAGAACAAAGAGCUGCAAAUUCGUAAGAAGGAGCCAAUCUCACAAACCUAACCUCAGUUCGAAUUGCGGUCUGCAACUCGAGCGCAUGAAGCCGGAAUCGCUAGUAAUCGUGGAUCAGAAUGCCACGGUGAAUACGUUCUUAGGUCUU